UACAGAGGUCUCAACCGUUGUUCGGAUUCAUUGGGCGUAAAGGGUGCGUAGGCGGUCGCGCAAGUCGGAUGUGAAAUCUCGGGGCUCAACCCCGAAACUGCAUUCGAUACUGCGUGGCUCGAGUACUGGAGAGGAGACUGGAAUUUACGGUGUAGCAGUGAAAUGCGUAGAUAUCGUAAGGAAGACCAGUGGCGAAGGCGAGUCUCUGGACAGUUACUGACGCUGAGGCACGAAGGCCAGGGGAGCAAACGGG
rnacentral:rRNA from 1 species